GACGAACGCUGGCGGCGUGCUUAACACAUGCAAGUCGAACGGAAAGGCCCUGCUUUUGUGGGGUGCUCGAGUGGCGAACGGGUGAGUAACACGUGAGUAACCUGCCCUUGACUUUGGGAUAACUUCAGGAAACUGGGGCUAAUCCCGGAUAGGAGCUCCUGCUGCAUGGAGGGGGUUGGAAAGUUUCGGCGGUUGGGGAUGGACUCGCGGCUUAUCAGCUUGUUGGUGGGGUAGUGGCUUACCAAGGCUUUGACGGGUAGCCGGCCUGAGAGGGUGACCGGCCACAUUGGGACUGAGAUACGGCCCAGACUCCUACGGGAGGCAGCAGUGGGGAAUAUUGCACAAUGGGCGGAAGCCUGAUGCAGCAACGCCGCGUGCGGGAUGACGGCCUUCGGGUUGUAAACCGCUUUCGCCUGUGACGAAGCGUGAGUGACGGUAAUGGGUAAAGAAGCACCGGCUAACUACGUG
rnacentral:rRNA from 1 species